rnacentral:lncRNA from 1 species
AAUAAUUUUGAAAUCCCUCAAGUACAAUAAAUAUGCUUGGCGGCACAUCAACAGCCUUAAAGAGGCAAAAAUCUUCUUUAUAAUAAUUAUUUUAUAUAAAAAUAAUAAUAUUCAAUUAAAAUAUUUCACAUUACAUAAAAUAUUAAAAAAUAUAUAUUUUUCUGCAUUUAGUCCCUUCAAAAAAAAAAUUUACAAAUAUCCCUAAUAAAUUUAUAUUUAUAUAAAUAACCUUCUUCUUACAAAGCGAGCGCUUAGAUAGCAUUUUUAAGUUGAACACGGUGAUCCUAUCACUGUGUUCACCGUAUUCCCUUUUAUAUUUUUUUCGUCCAUAAGUCAAAAAAAAAAGAAGGGCUAGAGUGUGGAUAUGAAUACGGUAAACACGGUAAUUCAUUUACUGUGUUCAACUUAAAAAUACAAAUGUGAUGCUCGUGUGGCAAGAAGAGGCC